rnacentral:rRNA from 1 species
ACGAACGCUGGCGGCAUGCCUAACACAUGCGAGUCGAACGAAGGCCCAGACUUCGGUUUGGUCCGUAGUGGCGCACGGGUGCGUAACGCGUGGGAAUCUGCCCCUCGGUUCGGAAUAACAGCGAGAAAUUGCUGCUAAUACCGGAUGAUGACUUCGGUCCAAAGAUUUAUCGCCGAGGGAUGAGCCCGCGUAAGAUUAGCUAGUUGGUGGGGUAAUGGCCUACCAAGGCGACGAUCUUUAGCUGGUCUGAGAGGAUGAUCAGCCACACUGGGACUGAGACACGGCCCAGACUCCUACGGGAGGCAGCAGUGGGGAAUAUUGGACAAUGGGCGAAAGCCUGAUCCAGCAAUGCCGCGUGAGUGAUGAAGGCCUUAGGGUUGUAAAGCUCUUUUACCAGGGAUGAUAAUGACAGUACCUGGAGAAUAAGCUCCGGCUAACUCCGU